UCCAGAGGGUGCAAUCGUUAUUCGGAAUUAUUGGGCGUAAAGAGCACGUAGGUGGUUUCGUAAGUCUAAUGUGAAAACCCUGGACUCAAUUCAGGAAGUGCAUCGGAUACUGCGAGACCGGAGUACAGGAGAGGUGGGCGGAAUUCCAGGUGUAGAGGUGAAAUUCGUAGAUAUCUGGAGGAACAACAGUGGCGAAGGCGGCUCACUGGACUGUCACUGACACUGAGGUGCGAAAGCGUGGGGAGCAAACAGG
rnacentral:rRNA from 1 species